rnacentral:rRNA from 1 species
CGAACGCUGGCGGCGUGCUUACCACAUGCACGUCGAACGGAAAGGCCCUGCUUUUGUGGGGUGCUCGAGUGGCGAACGGGUGAGUAACACGUGAGUAACCUGCCCUUGACUUUGGGAUAACUUCAGGAAACUGGGGCUAAUACCGGAUAGGAGCUCCUGCUGCAUGGUGGGGGUUGGAAAGUUUCGGCGGUUGGGGAUGGACUCGCGGCUUAUCAGCUUGUUGGUGGGGUAGUGGCUUACCAAGGCUUUGACGGGUAGCCGGCCUGAGAGGGUGACCGGCCACAUUGGGACUGAGAUACGGCCCAGACUCCUACGGGAGGCAGCAGUGGGGAAUAUUGCACAAUGGGCGUAAGCCUGAUGCAGCAACGCCGCGUGCGGGAUGACGGCCUUCGGGUUGUAAACCGCUUUCGCCUGUGACGAAGCGUGAGUGACGGUAAUGGGUAAAGAAGCACCGGCUAACUACGUG